AACGAACGCUGGCGGCAUGCCUAACACAUGCAAGUCGGACGAGACCUUCGGGUCUAGUGGCGCACGGGUGCGUAACGCGUGGGAAUCUGCCCUUGGGUUCGGAAUAACAGUUAGAAAUGACUGCUAAUACCGGAUGAUGACUUCGGUCCAAAGAUUUAUCGCCCAGGGAUGAGCCCGCGUAGGAUUAGCUUGUUGGUGAGGUAAAAGCUCACCAAGGCGACGAUCCUUAGCUGAUCUGAGAGGAUGAUCAGCCACACUGGGACUGAGACACGGCCCAGACUCCUACGGGAGGCAGCAGUGGGGAAUAUUGGACAAUGGGCGAAAGCCUGAUCCAGCAAUGCCGCGUGAGUGAUGAAGGCCUUAGGGUUGUAAAGCUCUUUUACCCGGGAUGAUAAUGACAGUACCGGGAGAAUAAGCCCCGGCUAACUCCGUGCCAGCAGCCGCCGUAACAC
rnacentral:rRNA from 1 species